rnacentral:rRNA from 1 species
GCAAGUCGAACGGUAGAGGGGGCAACCCCUUGAGAGUGGCGAACGGGUGAGUAAUAUAUCGGAACGUGCCCAGUCGUGGGGGAUAACGUACCGAAAGUUACGCUAAUACCGCAUACGAUCUAAGGAUGAAAGCGGGGGAUCGCUAGACCUCGCGCGACUGGAGCGGCCGAUAUCAGAUUAAGUAGUUGGUAGGGUAAAGGCCUACCAAGCCAACGAUCUGUAGCUGGUCUGAGAGGACGACCAGCCACACUGGAACUGACACACGGUCCAGACUCCUACGGGAGGCAGCAGUGGGGAAUUUUGGACAAUGGGCGAAAGCCUGAUCCAUCCAUUCCGCGUGCAGGAUGAAGGCCCUCGGGUUGUAAACUGCUUUUGUACAGAACGAACAGGUUUCUAUUAAUACUAGGAGCUCAUGACGGUACUGUAAGAAUAAGCACCGGCUAACUACGUGCCAGCAGCCGCGGUAAUACGUACGGUGCAAGCGUUAAUCGGAAUUACUGGGCGUAAAGCGUGCGCACGCGGUUAUAUAAGUCAGAUGUGAAAUCCCCGGGCUCAACCUGCGAACUGCAUUUGAGACUGUAUAGCUAGAGUACGGUAGAGGGGGAUGGAAUUCCGCGUGUAUGAAUGAAAUGCGUACAUAUGCGGAGGAACACCCAUGGCUAACGCAAUCCCCUGGACCUGUACUGACGCUCAUGCACGAAAGCGUGGGGAGCAAACAGGAUUAGAUACCCUGGUAGUCCACGCCCUAAACGAUGUCUACUGGUUGUUGGGUCUUUACUGACUCACUAACGAAGCUAACGCGUGAAGUUGACCGCCUGCGGAGUACGGACGCACGGUUGAAACUCACAGGAAUUG